rnacentral:rRNA from 1 species
AGUGACUAAGCGUACACGGUGGAUGCCUUGGCAGUCAGAGGCGAUGAAAGACGUAGUAACUUGCGAUAAGCCCAGAUUAGGUAGUAACAACCAUUUGAGUCUGGGAUUUCUGAAUGGGGAAACCCACGUGCAUAAGCACGUAUCCUUACCUGAAUACAUAGGGUAAUGAGGCGAACCGGGGGAACUGAAACAUCUAAGUACCCCGAGGAAAAGAAAUCAACCGAGAUUCCGAAAGUAGCGGCGAGCGAAAUUGGACUAGCCCUUAAGCUUUA